CCACACGACUCUCGGCAACGGAUAUCUCGGCUCUCGCAUCGAUGAAGAACGUAGCGAAAUGCGAUACCUGGUGUGAAUUGCAGAAUCCCGCGAACCAUCGAGUCUUUGAACGCAAGUUGCGCCCGAGGCCACCCGGCCGAGGGCACGCCUGCCUGGGCGUCACG
rnacentral:rRNA from 3 species